AUCUAGAGCAUCAUCCGUUCCCGUUAUGGGAGUACUCAUGUCUUUCGGAGUUUUCUUGCCUCUUUUAGUUUGUUUGGGUUCAUCAAAAUAAAUAAAAUCCUCAUUAUUUGCAAAUGUGGAUUUCCUUUGUCUCUUCUUCUGUACUGUCAUCGUAGACCCUCCUGUUCCCUGCGUGUCCAAGGUAGGAGAUUUAAUAAAAAAUAGUGACUCGCAUAAUUAAUAUACUUACUUACGUCUGACUUUCGUGCAUCGUCUCUCUCAAACUCCUUUUGCACACUACUGAUGUCAUCCUGAGCACCUUGCAAGUUUUUGUCAGUAGUGAUGUCAUCCUGAGCACCCUGGAAGUUUUGCUCACUAGUGAUGUCAUCGUGAGCACCCUGCAAGUCAUAGGGAGGAGCUUGUAAAAUGAGAAAAAUAACUCAUAUAAUUAAUAUAGUUACUAAAUUACAUCAAAGUCUGAGGCCAAGUCACGGCCAUGAAGGGGCGACGCAACAAAUUUGUCGCUGUCAUUGUACUCGUAUUCUGGUCGGCUCCAAUAGUCCUGCAUAGGUGCCUAGUUGUCAUUAUUUUAUACAUAGGAAGAAAAGAGUGAUUAAGUGCGUGUUUGGAUGGUAGGGUACUUACAUUGCCGUUCUGGUUGGCGUAUAACCAGUUCCUCAAAUUUGCAUUUUCCUGCUCUAGGUGCCUGAAUUUGCGCAACAUUUGUACGCGGGUCUGAAGGUGCUGCUCCAUCAAGUCUGUUCUCACUCGGCAAACGAGAUCAUGAAGCUUCAUCACCAGCUACAGGCAUAUUAAUGAGAAAAGUAUUAACCCUUUGGUGCACGAAGAAGUACAAAACUGAAGAAUAACAAAUUACCUUUGAAUCUGUCGGUGGCAAUUCAUCAAACAACUCAGGUGUCGGCGACCUUGCUCUGCAAAUGCUAUUCUCCUGUCUCCAUAUUGUCGGAAGACACUGUAUGCCCGGUUGACAUCUUUUCCUUCGGGUUCAACCCCUACCUCCUACCAAAUAUGUGCUCCACAUCCCGUGUUGUUAUCGACAGUGGUUCCCCAUCAAUGAUGAAGGCGUCACAGGUGGGGUCGUAUAGCUCCGCUAUUGAUCUGCACAUGUUCCGGUGAAUUUUGAUAGGAAGGAUCCUCAGUAGGCCACCUAGGUCGACCUCUUCUAUGGCUCUUGUCUGGUCUGUAGUGAAAUCUUUAGUAACUCCAUGAUAUGCUACAAGGGAACAGACUUGUGUUUCCUGAUCAUUUGGAAAUACAUUAAAAUGUGAGCUACACAAAAAGACAAAUAUGAGGCUUUUUAGCAUGUACUGUUCGUCAUCGUAUAUAAGUUAACCCUUCUUUUCUAUGCUUAUUACUCUAUGGGAAACAUAUAGGUUCGUAUUCGAAUAUGUCAUUAAUCUAGCUUCGAAAGAUGCUAUGAUCUAUUAUGCACAUCUGCCAGAUAGAUUAGAGUUUCACCAUGUCUAACAGUAAUAUGGAUGAUGAAGAUUGAUCUUUGGGAAACAUAGGCGUGGAUAUUAAUCUGUCAGAACCUACGAAACAAAAUACUUUCCUCUAAUAUACAAAUCUAAGAAACGAAAUACUCUGAUAUAAUAUGCACAUCUACGUAACAGAAUACUCUGCCGUAAUAUUGAUCAGGUACUGAAUUUCCUUACAGUGUUCCUUUUUGCUUGUGAUUUCUCUUGUGGUGUUGUUGACUUCGCCUUGUCGUUCGUGUUCCGAGGUGGCGGAUUCCUUGGUGCCGGGUACCUUGGUGGCAGGUUCUGUGCUGGCUGGUUCGCAGGUGGCGGGUUGGGUGCUGGCGGUGGUGGCGGGUUCGCUGAUGGAGGUGGUGGCUGGUUCGCAGGUGGCGGGUUCACUGAUGGCGGUGGUGGCGGGUUCCCUCGUGGUGUCUUCCGUGGUGGCGGAUGAUAAGAGCGAUGCUCCAUGAACGAACUAUGCAAUGUCACACAGGCAACUUUCUGGAGGACGACGUGGAAACGGCGGCGGCGGAAACUGGAGGGAGAUUAGAUCGAGCGUAUUAGUAGUACGUACGAUGGGUUUCUGUUAUUUCUUUCUCAGGAUAUUGGCAGCCUAACUCCCUUUUUUUUGCGGGACAGCUAUACCUAACUCCCGUGCAUGGCAGUCUGCAAUACAUAUCCCAAGUGUCAAAAAAGUUAAAUAAAAACUCCAAUAUAUAUCCCCUCGCUGUGGUAGCAAAUCGGGUUUACGUACUAACCAAUUUCGUAUCUCGAGUACCCCUCAUUUUUUUUUCAUAUCUCAAGUAUUUUUUUAUUUCUUACGAAA